rnacentral:rRNA from 1 species
AGAACGAACGCUGGCGGCAUGCCUAACACAUGCAAGUCGAACGAGACCUUCGGGUCUAGUGGCGCACGGGUGCGUAACGCGUGGGAAUCUGCCCCUUGGUUCGGAAUAACAGUUAGAAAUGACUGCUAAUACCGGAUGACGACGUAAGUCCAAAGAUUUAUCGCCGAGGGAUGAGCCCGCGUAGGAUUAGCUAGUUGGUGAGGUAAUGGCUCACCAAGGCGACGAUCCUUAGCUGGUCUGAGAGGAUGAUCAGCCACACUGGGACUGAGACACGGCCCAGACUCCUACGGGAGGCAGCAGUGGGGAAUAUUGGACAAUGGGCGAAAGCCUGAUCCAGCAAUGCCGCGUGAGUGAUGAAGGCCUUAGGGUUGUAAAGCUUCUUUACCAGGGAUGAUAAUGACAGUACCUGGAGAAUAAGCUCCGGCUAACUCCGCGCCAGCAGCCGC